AAAAAGGGUCGGUUGGCCAUGUAUGCUACAUACAUCUAUUAAUUGAUCGGCGCUGUAUGGUUAUCAAGACAUAAGACAGACAUAAUUUAUGGAUGAUAUAGGGUUGGCUUGCUUGGCUAACCCUCUU